AGCUUUGCGCAGUGGCAGUAUCGUAGCCAAUGAGGUUUAUCCGAGGCGCGAUUAUUGCUAAUUGAAACAACUACACCUUCUAUUAAUACAUCUAUUAAUUCUUGGGUGAAAAGGAAAAUGUAAAUUCAAAUUAGAA